CUGUGUGAUGGUGGUAUAGUGGUAAGCAUAGCUGCCUUCCAAGCAGUUGACCCGGGUUUGAUUCCAGGCCAUCGCAAAAGUUUUCCUUAAAGGCAGUGUAUAAUUGUAGCUUUUGUAGUUGGUUUGAUGUCUGUAUAGCAGUGCCUACAAUACUGCCAAGACCCCAGCCAGUACAAGCCAGCACGCCGAUUCAAACACCUCCGCCGAUGCAGAGUCCUCCACCAAAGAGUCGACGAAAUGCAUUCGCCAAAAGGGAGAGAGCGAAGGUGUACAUAUGAAAACUGUACAAUUAUGGAAGCAAUUGAAGAACUGCUGUCAAGAAAAGGAUGUCAUGGAGGAAUUCAAUGAAUAUGAGGGACAUGGUGCAAACAACCUGCAUAACAGAUCACCCAGGAUUCAAAUCAAAGUGUCUGAAUGUUUGGGUGUUGCAGACAGCCUACCAAAGGUAUUCAAAGAGGGACAGACAACAAGCAGGUGAUCAGCCACGUAAUGAAAUGUAUCACUAUGUGGCAUACCACCAGCUGGUGAGAUUCUGCUGGGGAAUACUUGCACAACAGCAUCCCUCUUGUUUGGUUCUUCCCACCGACUGCUGAAUGGAUCUGGGACAUCGAAAGGUUCAUCAUCAACACUGUCUUGGCACAAAGCGUAGAGUCUCGGUCAAGAGUUCAGUAACAUACUCUGCAAAAAAGAUGUUUUAUAAUCAAGAAUUAUAUAAUAUAUAUAUAUAUAUAUAUAUAUAUAUAUAUAUAUAUAUAUAUAUAUAUAUAUAUAUAUAUAUAUAUAUAUGUAUGCAUAUAUAUAUUAUGAUGCUGACCUUUGGAACAACCAACAUGGAUUGGAACUUGCAGUCCAGCUGACCUGACAUGUGGUCGCGCCUGCAUGGACUUGUGGUGUGUCCGUGGAGGGGGAUCCGUCUGCACAGCAAUUUCUUUCUGACAUGUCUGAAAUGUACAAAACACAACUUUACUAAUAAAUCUUUCAAACCAG
rnacentral:lncRNA from 1 species